GAUGAAGAACGUAGCAAAAUGCGAGAAGUCAUGUGAAUUGCAGAAUUCAGUGAAUCAUCGAAUCUUUGAACGCACAUUGCGCCCGCUGGUAUUCCGGCGGGCAUGCCUGUUCGAGCGUCAUUUCAACCCUCAAACCCCCGGGUUUGGUGUUGGGGAUCGGCUCUGCCUCACGGCGGUGCCGCCCCCGAAAUACAUUGGCGGUCUCGCUGCAGCCUCCAUUGCGUAGUAGCUAACACCUCGCAACUGGAACGCGGCGCGGCCAUGCCGUAAAACCCCAACUUCUGAAUGUUGACCUCGGAUCAGGUAGGAAUACCCGCUGAACUUAAGCAUAUCAAUAAGCGGAGGA
rnacentral:misc_RNA from 1 species